AUUAUCUCCUCCACAGUUACGAACUACACCCAUCUUACCACCACCAACUGUUUCUACUCCCUAACCAAAUAAUCCAAACAUUACAACACCUAGAACAUCUCCUGAUAGAAGUGUUUCUGACGGACAUGUUUUCGAAGGCACUCCUGAAGGAAUGUUUGACUUCGAACCAGAAAUCACCUCUCCGAAAUCAUCUCCCAUUAUUCAACC
rnacentral:lncRNA from 1 species